AAAUGAGUCGAGCCAUUACUGCGGGUUACCCAGAAUUCCCAGCUGGCCUUCAACACGGCGGGGCCACCGCUCACGUGGCCUCUCACCUUUGUGCUGAGGGAUGAAAGCCUGAGCAGUUCACGCUGAUGGUAAUAAUAUCCUCCGCAGUACUCCGGCUCUUCUGUGAAUUGUAUUUCUUGGACAUCCAGGAACCGUUGACAAGGAGAUGUAAUCUGAAACAAUUAUGCCAAUUCCUCAGAACAGUGUGGUGCGGGGCCUGGAGCUGUAGCCCUCACCGCAUUCAUUCAUUUGCACAGGGAAUGGACUCUCAGACGGAUCUGUUCGGAAGGGAUUGUUCAGGAUGAUAGAGUCAUCGAGCAGAGACGACGCUUGUACAGGUGACGCUGGGUGCUCAUGCAAGACAUCAAAAUUAGAAGUGAAAAUAGACUGCAGAGGAAGUGAUUUUGGUUGUAAGGGUUGAUGGAGGUUAAAGGUCAUAAAGGUGGAUAAAUAUGUGUGUGUGUGGUCAGAUUUUAAACACACA